rnacentral:tRNA from 1 species
UGGCUCAGACGGUAAAGCGUCUGCCUGUAAUGCGGGAGACCCAGGUUCGAUUCCUGG